UACGUAGGGGGCAAGCGUUGUCCGGAAUCAUUGGGCGUAAAGCGCGUGUAGGCGGCCAGAAAAGUCCGCUGUGAAAACUCGAGGCUCAACUUCGAGCUGUCGGUGGAAACUUUCUGGCUAGAGUCCGGAAGAGGAGAAUGGAAUUCCUGGUGUAGCGGUGAAAUGCGCAGAUAUCAGGAAGAACACCCGUGGCGAAGGCGACUACCUGGCCUGUUCUUGACGCUGAGGCGCGAAAGCUAGGGGAGCAAACGGG
rnacentral:rRNA from 1 species